UACGUAGGGUGCGAGCGUUAAUCGGAAUUACUGGGCGUAAAGCGUGCGCAGGCGGUUCGUUGUGUCGGCGGUGAAAGCCCCGGGCUCAACCUGGGAAUGGCCGUUGAAACUGGCGAACUGGAGUGUGGCAGAGGGGGGUGGAAUUCCGCGUGUAGCAGUGAAAUGCGUAGAUAUCGGGAGGAACACCAGUGGCGAAGGCGGCGAUCUGGAUCGAUACUGACGCUGAGGUGCGAAAGCGUGGGGAGCAAACAGG
rnacentral:rRNA from 1 species